AUGGCCGGCAUACUGGCAGCAAAAAAGGUUCUAGUGCUGCACACCAACAAGAACUUCGACCAGCAGAGGACCAACUGGGUGAUGCACCAGUACCACCUCGGGGACCUGGAGCAAGAGAAGGAGCGGUUGCUGGUCCUCUGCAAGAUUUUCUACCAGACGAACACUAGGGCCAGGUCGAGCAAGUUUCAACUGGGUUGUAGAUUGACCAGGGUUGUUUUGUUUUUAACAGGCCCAUCCCAUGACGACAACGGGGCACAAAGAUCCAAUAGCUAG
rnacentral:rRNA from 1 species